UGAAACACAAUCCACUAGAGUCCCUACAUGAAUCAAUCGCAAAGAAAAAUUUGGUUUAAGAAUAAAAAAACAAUCACACUUCACCAUCAUCGAGCUAAAGGGAAUUAGGGAAAUUGAGCUGCUUACCAGUAACCUCAUAAGCAGUGGCACCUUUGAUUUCUGCAGUGCUUACAGAAAUCGAUUCUUGGUAUGUAAACGAGUGCCCAGAGAACGAUUUAUCCUUACAGUUGAGGGGCGCAGACAGCGACAUUAUAAAGACCUUCAGUGACAAGAGCUUCAACAAGAGAGGUGAGACCAGGGGAACCGAUCCCCUUACUGUCCGUAACAAAAAUCACAGGCUUUGAAGGAUCAAAGUCGUCAGCAGUAGAUGAGAUUGAACAGUAGAUUCAUCUUCUUCUACUUUUGUGGAAGGCGGUGGAUAACCGGCGGUGGAUGCAAGCAUGGUGGAUGACCGGCGCUGGAUCUGGAUGAUGUCGGCGACCAUACUUGAGAGACUUGAGAGAGAUUAGGUCAUUAGGG
rnacentral:lncRNA from 1 species